rnacentral:rRNA from 1 species
UUAAGCGACUAAGCGUACACGGUGGAUGCCCUGGCAGUCAGAGGCGAUGAAGGACGUGCUAAUCUGCGAUAAGCGUCGGUAAGGUGAUAUGAACCGUUAUAACCGGCGAUUUCCGAAUGGGGAAACCCAGUGUGAUUCGACACACUAUCAUUAACUGAAUCCAUAGGUUAAUGAGGCGAACCGGGGGAACUGAAACAUCUAAGUACCCCGAGGAAAAGAAAUCAACCGAGAUUCCCCCAGUAGCGGCGAGCGAACGGGGAGCAGCCCAGAGCCUGAAUCAGUAUGUGUGUUAGUGGAAGCGUCUGGAAAGGCGCGCGAUACAGGGUGACAGCCCCGUACACAAAAAUGCACAUGCUGUGAGCUCGAUGAGUAGGGCGGGACACGUGGUAUCCUGUCUGAAUAUGGGGGGACCAUCCUCCAAGGCUAAAUACUCCUGACUGACCGAUAGUGAACCAGUACCGUGAGGGAAAGGCGAAAAGAACCCCGGCGAGGGGAGUGAAAAAGAACCUGAAACCGUGUACGUACAAGCAGUGGGAGCACGCUUAGGCGUGUGACUGCGUACCUUUUGUAUAAUGGGUCAGCGACUUAUAUUCUGUAGCAAGGUUAACCGAAUAGGGGAGCCGAAGGGAAACCGAGUCUUAACUGGGCGUUAAGUUGCAGGGUAUAGACCCGAAACCCGGUGAUCUAGCCAUGGGCAGGUUGAAGGUUGGGUAACACUAACUGGAGGACCGAACCGACUAAUGUUGAAAAAUUAGCGGAUGACUUGUGGCUGGGGGUGAAAGGCCAAUCAAACCGGGAGAUAGCUGGUUCUCCCCGAAAGCUAUUUAGGUAGCGCCUCGUGAAUUCAUCUCCGGGGGUAGAGCACUGUUUCGGCAAGGGGGUCAUCCCGACUUACCAACCCGAUGCAAACUGCGAAUACCGGAGAAUGUUAUCACGGGAGACACACGGCGGGUGCUAACGUCCGUCGUGAAGAGGGAAACAACCCAGACCGCCAGCUAAGGUCCCAAAGUCAUGGUUAAGUGGGAAACGAUGUGGGAAGGCCCAGACAGCCAGGAUGUUGGCUUAGAAGCAGCCAUCAUUUAAAGAAAGCGUAAUAGCUCACUGGUCGAGUCGGCCUGCGCGGAAGAUGUAACGGGGCUAAACCAUGCACCGAAGCUGCGGCAGCGACGCUGAUGCGUUGUUGGGUAGGGGAGCGUUCUGUAAGCCUGAGAAGGUGUGCUGUGAGGCAUGCUGGAGGUAUCAGAAGUGCGAAUGCUGACAUAAGUAACGAUAAAGCGGGUGAAAAGCCCGCUCGCCGGAAGACCAAGGGUUCCUGUCCAACGUUAAUCGGGGCAGGGUGAGUCGACCCCUAAGGCGAGGCCGAAAGGCGUAGUCGAUGGGAAACAGGUUAAUAUUCCUGUACUUGGUGUUACUGCGAAGGGGGGACGGAGAAGGCUAUGUUGGCCGGGCGACGGUUGUCCCGGUUUAAGCGUGUAGGCUGGUUUUCCAGGCAAAUCCGGAAAAAAAAGGCUGAGGCGUGAUGACGAGGCACUACGGUGCUGAAGCAACAAAUGCCCUGCUUCCAGGAAAAGCCUCUAAGCAUCAGGUAACAUCAAAUCGUACCCCAAACCGACACAGGUGGUCAGGUAGAGAAUACCAAGGCGCUUGAGAGAACUCGGGUGAAGGAACUAGGCAAAAUGGUGCCGUAACUUCGGGAGAAGGCACGCUGAUAUGUAGGUGAAGUCCCUCGCGGAUGGAGCUGAAAUCAGUCGAAGAUACCAGCUGGCUGCAACUGUUUAUUAAAAACACAGCACUGUGCAAACACGAAAGUGGACGUAUACGGUGUGACGCCUGCCCGGUGCCGGAAGGUUAAUUGAUGGGGUAAGCGCAAGCGAAGCUCUUGAUCGAAGCCCCGGUAAACGGCGGCCGUAACUAUAACGGUCCUAAGGUAGCGAAAUUCCUUGUCGGGUAAGUUCCGACCUGCACGAAUGGCGUAAUGAUGGCCAGGCUGUCUCCACCCGAGACUCAGUGAAAUUGAACUCGCUGUGAAGAUGCAGUGUACCCGCGGCAAGACGGAAAGACCCCGUGAACCUUUACUAUAGCUUGACACUGAACAUUGAGCCUUGAUGUGUAGGAUAGGUGGGAGGCUUUGAAGUGUGGACGCCAGUCUGCAUGGAGCCGACCUUGAAAUACCACCCUUUAAUGUUUGAUGUUCUAACGUUGACCCGUAAUCCGGGUUGCGGACAGUGUCUGGUGGGUAGUUUGACUGGGGCGGUCUCCUCCUAAAGAGUAACGGAGGAGCACGAAGGUUGGCUAAUCCUGGUCGGACAUCAGGAGGUUAGUGCAAUGGCAUAAGCCAGCUUGACUGCGAGCGUGACGGCGCGAGCAGGUGCGAAAGCAGGUCAUAGUGAUCCGGUGGUUCUGAAUGGAAGGGCCAUCGCUCAACGGAUAAAAGGUACUCCGGGGAUAACAGGCUGAUACCGCCCAAGAGUUCAUAUCGACGGCGGUGUUUGGCACCUCGAUGUCGGCUCAUCACAUCCUGGGGCUGAAGUAGGUCCCAAGGGUAUGGCUGUUCGCCAUUUAAAGUGGUACGCGAGCUGGGUUUAGAACGUCGUGAGACAGUUCGGUCCCUAUCUGCCGUGGGCGCUGGAGAACUGAGGGGGGCUGCUCCUAGUACGAGAGGACCGGAGUGGACGCAUCACUGGUGUUCGGGUUGUCAUGCCAAUGGCACUGCCCGGUAGCUAAAUGCGGAAGAGAUAAGUGCUGAAAGCAUCUAAGCACGAAACUUGCCCCGAGAUGAGUUCUCCCUGACUCCUUGAGAGUCCUGAAGGAACGUUGAAGACGACGACGUUGAUAGGCCGGGUGUGUAAGCGCAGCGAUGCGUUGAGCUAACCGGUACUAAUGAACCGUGAGGCUUAACCUU